AAUAAAAAAUAUACUAAUAAUUUGGUCGAGCCAGGUGUAUACCAUGUUCUCGGGAUCGGUGGACUGGUGCGUUUAGGCACCCAAAUUUUGUCAAAAGUGCUUCCAACACUAAAGCGGGGAUCAACUUGGAGAAGAGUUCAGUUCUGGAGGGGGCAAAACCGAAAAGAACCAGAGGAGCUAGGGUCUGGCGCGACACACCAGACGUGGUGUCUGACUCCACGCGUGGCUGGCU
rnacentral:rRNA from 1 species